GCCAGCUGUGGUAGUACAUGCCUGUAGUCCCAGCUACUUGGGAGGCUGAGGCUGGAGGAUCUCUUGAGCCCAGGAGUUCUGGGCUGUAGUGCGCUAUGCCGAUCGGGUGUCCGCACUAAGUUUGGCAUCAAUAUGGUGACCUCCUGUGAGUGGGGGACCACCAGGUUGCCUAAGGAGGGGUGAACUGGCCCAGGUUGGAAACGGAGCAGGUCAAAACUCCCGUGCUGAUCAGUAGUGGGAUUGUGCCUGUGAAUAGCCACUGCACUCCAGCCUGGGCAACUCAGCAAGACCUUGUCUCU
rnacentral:SRP_RNA from 1 species